UGUGUAGGCGGAAGAUUAAGUCAGUGGUGAAAUCCUGCAGCUUAACUGUAGAACUGCCAUUGAAACUGAUUUUCUUGAGUACAGUUGAGGUAGGCGGAAUGUGUAAUGUAGCGGUGAAAUGCUUAGAUAUUACACAGAACACCGAUUGCGUAGGCAGCUUACUAAACUGGUACUGACGCUGAGGCACGGAAGCGUGGGGAGCAAACAGGAUUAGAUACCCUGGUAGUCC
rnacentral:rRNA from 1 species